AUAUCCUAGUCUUUUUUUUGUAUCUUUAUCAUUAUUUUGUUUUCUAAAUUUGUGAAGAAAUAUUUUUGUGAUAUUUUUCUAACUAAACAUAAAGUGCCAUUUAUGGCCGGCAGAAUUUUUUAAAUUAAAAUCUAGUCAGGAAAACGGUUGUAUGUUUUAUUACUCUGCCUGGCUUGGUGAUGGGCCCAAAUUAACCAGAUGAAUUAUGAAAUCAAUUUAAAAAGAAAGUAUGUGUGUUUGCUGGUAUUCUGGUAAAAGGUUACUAGUAUAUUGUUAAGAUAAAAUUAAAGUAAUUAACUGUUAACAUGUUAAUCAUAAAAUCGCACCUUUAAAGGGACUGUAUACUCCCUUUAAUAAAUGUUAAAUGUAUGUUGGGGUGUAACCAAUACUAUGUAUUGUAAGUAAAUAAAUGUGAGGGAAGAUCCCUAAAUAAAUAUUUUGUAACCUAAA